rnacentral:lncRNA from 1 species
GAUUUUGAUGAAGAAAUCGACAAACUUGAACUGCAGGACUCGUGGCGCUGCUCGGCUCCUCGCCAAUGCGAAUGCGUUCUCUGAGGAUAACCCGCCCAAGGCUACCAUGGCGAAGCCACGCCACCGCGCCGGCUAUAGACUCACGGCCUGAAGCGAGUUUGGGCGCGACGGCUGGCGAGCCAAGGCGGCGGAAAGUCGUCUGGCGGAGCUCCCGUCUGAGGCGAGCUUGAUCUGGUCAGACAGCUCCGCCACCGAUGGUGUGCUAGAUGGAGGAGGAGGGGCCACCCCCCCCCCGAACCGCGACAUCCGAGAGGUGCGUGUCGCGGCAGGCGCCCUCUGCUCUAGCACGCGCGGCGAGCUAUUCGCCCCGCUGAUGGAGGGGCGUCCCCCGCCGCCGGUUCGUGGACCCAACAGGCUGGACGCAGUGGAGACCCACCAACUACGAGCAGGACACUGGUCCGGGUCAGCCCAGUACCUGCACAGAAUCGGGCGGCACCCAUCGCCGGAGUGCGCCCAGUGCAGUGAUCGGGGAUGCCGGGCAGGAUGGUGCCGCGCCUGCGGCGAAGAGGCCGACACCCCGGACCAUGUCCUUCUGCGGUGCCCGGCGCUGAUGAACGCCCGGCUCCGCAUCUUCGGCACCAUCUUCCCGAGCCUGAGCGACGUGCGACGAGACGACGCGGUGGCGGCCCUGGCGAGGGUCGCCAGGUACCUCCAGAGCCGUUAAGGCUACAGCUCACCAGAGCCUGGAGGGACAGCACAACAACAACAACAGCUAUUCGCCCUAAGAGCGGUGUUGGAGGAGCUGGCCGGACGGAUGGUACCGGUCGAUAUGGGUCGACCGCCGUCUAUCCGGUCCAUUCUGCUGUUCCAGCUCCAGGACCGGCCGCGCCGUCGCCACCCGUCCGGCGUCAGUGGAGGACCGCUCAUCAGCUGUCGAUUUUCAUCAGUUUCGCUUGGACCACUGGUCGGGCUCCUGCCAGUGCCGACAUUGGGUUGGGCGGAGUCCUACCGAUGAAUGCCGCGAGUGCUGCAACAUUGGCUCGGUACAUCUCGGUACAUUUUCCCGAGUCUGGUGUGGCUACGGGGAGACGGAUUUGGUGACCCUGGCUGCCGCCGUGAGAACCAUCCAGAACCAUACGGCUAUGCUGCGGCAGCAGCUGAAAGGAACGCAACAACAAUAACUACAACAGCAGCUGCUAAUGAAAGGGGAAAUCAUGGAGCCGGAUGACCCGGCACAUGGCGCUCAGCCAGCUGAGAAUGAGAGCAGCUAUCAAAUCGCCAGCAGGGUGCUGCGGCUGGUAACUGACGACCUUAACAGAGAGAGCGCCUCCGCUGAUGCGGAUGAAACUACCCCCUCUCGGGUUUGUUUGACGCCGUCUCCGUCGACUCUUUCGCCUGGGCCGGCUGGCGACCGCGACAUUUCUUGUGCAGUGACUCGUAACUAUGUUCACCAAACUUUUAAAACUCCUCACGUUAGCAUCUUUAACCCUAUUCCUGGCGGGCUCCGCCGGGACAAGAAACUGGCGGGGGGGGGGGCCGAUUCGGCCCCCCCCUGAGAUCUCGAGAACGAAGCAAGAUAGCGACAAGCGGUAAACGGCAUCGGAUACGCACGGCCAAGAUCUACAAUUUUUACUAAGGUCAUUUUCAGGUCAGGUCAAAGAUGACGUCACAGGGGUCGAAAAAGUCAAAAUGGCGGCACUAGAUAUGGAGAGAGUUUUUCUCGAAUAACUUUCGAAUUAGUCAAGAUAGGAAAAAACUAAGGGCAUAAUCGUGAUCCUCUCGUCAAUCCGCAUCGAAUGAUAUAUAUAUGUUGACCUCGAAAGGUCAAGGUCAAAGGUUGACCUCAGGUCACGUGACCUCGAGGUCAUCAUGUAUAUCAUUCGAUGCGUCUUGACGAGCUGAACACAAUGAGACCAUCCACGCGUCUGUAUCUUGUUCCUGUACGGAGUUAUUGGCCAAAAACCUUUGGUGACCUUUGAUGACGUCACAUGACCUCACAGCUGCCCAACAGCAAAACAGACCUGAAGGUAGUGAAGGUUGAUCGUAUAUGAAGUCAUGUAUGGUAUAUGGGGCCAUUCCGACCCGUUUUAGUGGUAAAAACAGGGAGUUGAUUUUUCCCCCAUUGACUUAUAAUGGGGAGGUCGCGAAAUUGACCUGACCUUAGGUCACCGAUAUCAAAAUUCCGAGAUAUACAAAUUGCACAUACUGGUACCCUAACUAAACCCUGAAGAGAAGAAAUUGAUCGGUCAAAAACUCUAGCUCUGGCGUGAUUGCAAACUUUUCUGAGGUAGCGUCACCAAACCGCCUCUGGUGACCUGACCUGAGGUCAGAUCAACUCAAAAUUUUCAGACAUGUUGCGUAGAAGCCUUUUAGGAAAAGUCAGAAAAUUUGAGCUUCCUAGCUCAACGCGUUUGGGAGAUAUAACCAAAAAACCUCAGGGGGGGGGGCUCCUGAGGCCCCCCGCCAGGAAUAGGGUUAAAGAAUGUUUCCCUUGUACACUGCUGCAAUGUCUUAUGUAGGCAUAUUGUAGGUACAGUCUAAACGAGUGUGGAAUGCUUUGUUGUGCUUGCUUGUUCUGUAUUUCGUUUGCUAUUUAUCACGGUGACUAUAAUUUAUUUUGACCAACCCUUGCCUUGUUGCAAUUUUAGUGGAUGGUUUCUGAACUGCUGUUUGCAUUAUAGAUGUUGCUAGUGCGUAGACGCCAAAGAUUACUUUAUACCUAUUGACGCGCCAGAUAAAGGAGGUGAAGUAUUCCUCUGAUCUCUACCUACGAAAUUCCUUUAUGUGUGUUUUGUAAUCGAUAUUGGCGGUUUUCUUAUGUGAUGCGGUGUAGAGCGUGGCUGAGGAAGGCGAUGUUUAAAGUUGCUAGUUAUUUUUCAAUACAUCUAUGAUCGGAC